GACAGAGGGUGCAAACGUUGUUCGGAAUUACUGGGCGUAAAGCGCGUGUAGGCGGUUUCGUAAGUCGGAUGUGAAAGCCCUCGGCUCAACCGGGGAAGUGCACCCGAAACUGCGGAACUAGAGUCUCGGAGAGGAUCGUGGAAUUCUCGGUGUAGAGGUGAAAUUCGUAGAUAUCGAGAGGAACACCGGUGGCGAAGGCGGCGAUCUGGACGGUGACUGACGCUGAGACGCGAACGCGUGGGGAGCAAACAGG
rnacentral:rRNA from 1 species